UGUUCUGUGGCAUAGUUAGACAAAAGCGCUGGACUAGCGAUAAGGAGUCGUGGGUUUGAAUCCCACCAAAACAA
rnacentral:tRNA from 1 species